UACUGCGCCGUGUCGGUAAGCGGAAACGCCCCGAAAGCCUCGCAUUUGGAGCUUUAGCAACACGUAGCGCAGUUUU
rnacentral:ncRNA from 19 species